GCCUCGGUGGUGAAAUGGAUAUCACGGCUGACUUCGGAUCAGCUGUUCCGGGUUCGAAUCCUGGCCGAGGCACUA
rnacentral:tRNA from 2 species